AAAAAGUCUCUUCAGGAUUGUGCAUGUUCCUAGCUGUUGAGGAAAAAGUGGACAAGGCCCGCAUAUAGACUUGCAAUGUUUUGAGCCAGCUCAUAGCAUCUGAAUUCCCUUACUGCAGGUGAGAAGGAGAGUGCACAGUAAGCAGUACUACUGGAAGGAAAAGAAACACCCAGUCUCUCCUCAGGACCUAUCAAGCAAGAAACCUCUGAUGGAUGGAUUUCUGACAAUGGCACACUUUGGUUGCAGCAAGAGAGACUUGACCAUCUGGAAUAUCCAGAUCAUCUUGAAAUAUGCAUCUCAUCAAACUGCCCUUUUUUCCUUCCCAAAGCUGAUUGAAAGUGUAUUGCAGGAGUUGAGACAGGAAAACACCUAGAUUUGCAUGUGUCACUUUUGCUUCUGUUUUGAAAGAAAGGAGGGUUACUAUAACUGGAAUCUGCUAAAAAACACAACCCAACUAAACAUAUCAAAAUGUCUAGGUUGAAAUUAAAUAGAGUUAAAGUUGUGGGAUUAUAUAAGCAUAAGAUUGAUCAGUAUUUAGAAGGAAUAAUUAUGUAUUAGAUAUUGAAGAAAGGAGGGCUGAAAUGCAAGACUUGUAGGCUGAGGCCUGCUAGAUUUCAGCUAAGCUAAUUUAGGCCUUGGAGAUAAGUAAGUGACGGAAGAAUAACCUGAUGCCCUAAGAUUAUGGGAAAAGAGGUGCCAAGGGGUAAUAUUGCAAAAAAAAUAUUGCUGGAAGAUUAAUUUUCAAAUAAUAAAAAUGCUGUAGAGGCACAUCUGUCUCUAACGUGUGUCUUAACCACAGGAUACAGGUUUUGCGUCAAUGCUGAUAAGAAUAAAGGGAACCUACACAACCUAUAGGAAUAGGAGUCCCUUAGGUUUCUAUGGGAUACCAGACCAAUAAGGAAAAAGAGGGUUGACUCUUUCAUAUACGUGCACAGAAUGUAGGUAUAGGCAGAAUCACAUUAUAAAAAGGGAUUCCCAGAACAGGAAAAUUGAGCUUCCUGUGGGAAAACUCCAGCAGGAACCAUCCCUCUACUGAUGAUCAAGCCAUGAGAGAACCAUCAGACUAACACUAUCUAGGAGGAUGUGAGUAUGUCUGUAGCUAUAACUGGUGCAUUGCAACACCUAGAAGUUGUUUAUUCGGUGACAUACAUAAUUUGUUGGUAACUUGAAAAAAAGAGAGUGAAUCUUGUUCUUCAGAUUGUGUGUGUCACUUGCCUAUGGUUUUAUGUGUCCCUAUGAGCUCUAGAUCUAAAAUAGGCAGCGCUAACUCUGUUAAACUCAAGACCUAAGCCACCAGAGCCGAACCCUCGCUGGUAUAAUAUAACAUCUCUAAAAUUAACUUUAAAUAAAAAUAAA